GAAAAAAAAAAAUUGUGCGCAUGUUCAGUCCACACACAGCCGUAACCAUUCCUGCUAGUUCCAGGGACAGAGCUAACACGCUCUGGGUAAAAGUCUGCAACAGUUCCCUUUUCAAUAAGCAAACAGUCCUAUGGCUCGUUGUGAUUUAUUGUCCUCAGCGUACAACAUGAAGAACAGUGGGCAUGGAAAAUAAAAGUAGACUAGACUUCGGUGACUACUGUAACGCGAUAACUGCUGCCUCCAGUGCUACGUCUGUUUCCAUAUACUCGCGCUGCCACACAAACCUGUCGCCUAGGUUACCACACAGACGUAACACGUAGCUGACAUAGCGAUUGCUAACAUAAAGAAAAACACAUAGAGCAUGGCCACGCAUUUACAGCGACAUCACCCCGGUGUUUCACUGACAGGAGUGAAACCGAAAGCGGCUCAACAACCGCUCAUCGCCGCGGCAUUUAAGCAGCCCCUUCCUCCACAAUCAGACCGGGCUAAAGCAAUCACAAACGCUAUUUUUUUUUUUUUUUUUGCUGAUCCGAAAAAUUAUCCGAUCCGUGACUCUGAUCCGAGGAACGAUCCGAACCCCAUUGACGUCACCUACCUCCUGGAGGAGGGGGCCGGCCGGCGGCUACGACGGCGAACCCUCGGCUUUGGUGACUUUGUGUGCAGGAAGUAACACAGGUUAGCUCGCUGUCGGUGAGCGAAAGACGGAGAUACCACGGAGAGACGCAGGGAAAAGGGACGACGAGGCUCCGCUCGGGGGGGAAGGAGCGAGCAAGCAGUAGGGACGACCUUGCGUCCUCCGGAGAAACCUUUCAGGUGUAGCUCUCUCCAAACCUGCCAUCUCAGACUCGGAGCGAGAGAUGCGAGGCAGGGAAACUUACAAAGAAACACAAAUGCAGGAUGGGAAGGUUGUCAAUAUGGUUGCCGUUUUUUUCAAGGGGUUCAGGACUACUCAGGGGGAGAAAGGACCCACACUUUGUUUUUCGUUUUUUUCUUCCUUCAUUUUUUUUGGCUUAUUUAAAUAGUAUGAUGCAAACGUUUUUAUUGACAUAGGAAGAGAAACAGAAAACCCACGCACUUACAAUGCAUCAAACGGCCUUUGAGCAUUGUGUGAAAGACUGCAGGCUGCAGGCUGAAGACAUAGGCGUUUACCGUACCAACAAGGGUAAACGAGGAAGGGCGGCCGUUAGAAUUAAGGAUCGAAAAAUGAGAAGUGGUACCGGAACGAAUGACGUGCAGCGGCCCCAGUAGGAUGGCUUCCUGUGACUUGGAACGCUGGAGACCAACUCCCCCUUGUGGGGAAGAGCUGCAAUGAUUCAAAAACAAAACUAAGCUAAUGCCAGAAAGUGUCAGGACUUAAUGAUUAGAAUGCAUAGGAGAAGCAAGUGCGCUUCGGAAGAAUGACAAUAAAAAACGCUGCUGCAGAGCUUGGCGAGGGACACACGGUCGAUGAGGCGGGAAUGAGGUCGGCUCUACUGCACUUUUGGCACUGAGGACAUGGUGAAGCUCGGGCGUAUCUAUAGCGAUGGAAAACACACACUAACGCUCUCGAGAGUCAGCCGAUGUAUUCUGGGGGAAUUCGGCGGAGGGGAAAGCAUAUCUUGCUCUUUUCUUUAAGAUGUGCAGGCAGAAGGCGGUGUCUUGGGCGAAUGACAGUGCGCUUCUUUUUGGUUUUUGUUUUAGUGUCUUGUUGAUUUUUUUAAAGUUAUUAUUGAGGCGAGGCGGUCAGCUUUGCCCUUUCUUAUGUGGAAGUAACCUGAUUCACCAGCUAAAUUAUACCAGGCGGUGGAACACUGGCCUUCAUUGUAACGCCUUAGGAACGCCAUGCUCCCCAGACUGGCUUGCGUGCGUGCGUGCGUGCGAGAGUGUGUGUGUGUGCGGGUGUGCAUCCACACUUAUUUAGUGUUUGUACGCUAGAAACCUUGAAGAUAUUGAUUUUUUUUUAACGAGGAAAAAAAUUAAGGGCUUGAUGGCAAUUAACAGUUUUAAGAAAACUAUGAAAACAAUACUCAACAUGAAAUGUAUCGUGGCAGUCAUAUUUUCUUAUAUUCUGUUAGAUGGCGCUGGAGGGGCGGGCGGGGGGGUGUGUACUGUGUUUUGAAAGGGAAUGGACUCCAGUUCCGUUUUCCUCUUCAGAAUACACGAUCCUGGUUGUGCCAUGGUGAAUGUUUAAAAUGUGUGAUAUCCAAUGAGAUUUUUUUUGCCCCUGGAAUGCCUCUGAUAAAAUGGGACCGCAUGUCCCUAUGUGUUAAACUGACAGAGAAUUGAGACAUACAACUGGCUACGAAAGAGAGAGUGUGGGAGAUAGAGAGAGGUAGAGAGAAGCUGUACAGUGCCAACUUAAUGUACAUAUACAAACUUUACAUGAGGAACGUCUCCAAAAGCAAUAUCUUGAUUAUGGAAUUUUUUUUGGUGUAUUGAACUGUACAGGACUCAGCCCUAAAAUGUAUUAUGAUUAUUCUAAUGAUAAUAUGAUAAUUUCUUCCAUUUGUAUAACUACAAUGAAGACAGUUAAGCUUAAAGGAAAAUGAGAGUUUUGUCCAAAUUCCCACACUUAGCGGUCCUACCCAAGCAACGUAUAUACGUUUUUUGCUGCCUAUAAAUUCCAUCUAUGUACUUGCAUGAACGAGAAGAAUGUCAAAUGGACAUAGAAAGGCACCAGGACAUCAUAGUCCUUGCAAUGGCUUCUCGGUCACAGUAAGGGAUAUUGUUAAUAAUAUUACUUUUAAGGAGUAAAAAGCUCCUUGAUUUUUUGCUGCAAAGUGUUGAACACUAAAAAAACAAACCAACAUAAAAAUGUUAUGAUAUUUUUUAAGAAAGGUGACAGAGAUAAAGAAUACGCUGUCAGCUAGAUAUCAUGUUAUUUUCUUUUUCCUUUAAAAAAACUGAAACGGUUCCGUUUUGUGAUAACAGUCAUUGUAAAAUGCUUGUACUUGUAUUUGUGUAUUUUGUGUGAUUUGUUUAGUUAUUUUUAGACAAUCACAAAAUAAGAUGCAAGCAUUGUAUAUGGCAGACUGGCAGACAUUUUGUGAUGUGUACAGUUUGUCAAAAACUUCUUCCACUCGUUAAAAGUUUGUAAUUAUGAUUAUAAAGUCAUGGAAAAUGCUGUUGGUUUUUACUUUUUUGUUUUAUAUUCUAUUUGUUUUUUGUUUUUUGUUUGUUUUUUAAUAAAAAGCACUACAUUAUUGUGAA
ensembl:lncRNA